rnacentral:rRNA from 1 species
UACGGAGGGUGCAAGCGUUACUCGGAAUCACUGGGCGUAAAGGAUGUGUAGGCUGUACUAUAAGUCAGGAGUGAAAUCCAACGGCUCAACCGUUGAACUGCUUUUGAAACUGUUGUACUAGAAUAUGGGAGAGGUAGAUGGAAUUGGUGGUGUAGGGGUAAAAUCCGUAGAUAUCACCAGGAAUACCGAUUGCGAAGGCGAUCUACUGGAACAUUAUUGACGCUGAGGCAUGAAAGCGUGGGGAGCAAACAGG